UACUGGACGGACAGGAUCUGUGCAGGAGCAUCCACCUUUGCAAAUGUUUAGAAAACCCCCUAGUUAAAGUGCAGUAUUAUGAAGUAAGUCCUGGUCGAUGUCAUAUUCACAACCACAUCCCUAAGAUUUGUUCGCCUUCCCAUUCGAGGUCCUUUUCCCUUCCAAUUCCUUGACUCCUCUCCUCUUGGAACGACGGCGACGAGCAUCAGCGAGUCAGCGACCGCCGUACCAACCAGGGCGUGCACUGCACAGCUAAAACCCAAGUUAUUUACUUCGUUUUGGCAACUUGGAUAACACUGCUCUUACUUGACACCCCGGAUGCCAUAUGGAGCCCUAAAUAUCAGUUGCACGGAGCACUUAAAUCCUGCUGGCACAGGCCCAUUUUAUAAUGAGGAGAAGUAGAUAUAGUCACACAUCAAUUUCUUAAUCUUAUACACUGGAGUGUCUCCAACUGCAAUUGCUGUUCAGUCACCCUGCAUUGCUCAAGUGCAAUUGUGAGAAUACCAGAGCUUUCUGCUGUUGAGAUUUCAAUCAUAGAUAGCUUUCAGGGGAGGGAGGCAAAUGCAGUGAUCAUAUCAAUGGUGGGCAUAGUAGCAUGUCUGCUCUUUCUGGUUCCAACAUCAUACAAGUUUGCUUGAAUCCACUGGGAGCCGUAGGGUUUCUGGGCAACAGCAGGCACAUCAAUGUGGCUAUUACUAGGGGGCGCACAAGCACAUCACUGUGGUUUGUGAUACCUCCACUAUUCGUCACAGCAUCUUCCUGGCCAGGCUCCUUGGACAGGGUUUCUGGCCUCACUUCAGUCAACCUACUCUCCCCUCUGGCCCUCUAUCAGUUGACAUUCAGGGCAACAAAUUACAAGCAUUCUGUCUGCGAAUGCAUAUAUGCAAACAGCUGAAGGUAUUGUACAUACACAAGGUUGGAAGCUGGGAAGUCAUGAAGAGGACGCAAACAUUGAUUAAUGGAUAGAACGAAGGUGAUGAUGCAUGGGCUUAUUAGGCUAUCUGCUGUUGAACUUAACUGGGAUGGGUCAGUCUUCCAUUUUAUUUUCUGAACUGAUGCACAGGAGAGUGAAUAUUCAGGAAGAGAAAAACUUCAUUCUUCUGAGUAUCACUAAUCUCUUGCUUGCGUGACGCGAUGCUCCUGUUCCUGUAAAUACAUUACUGUCGGCAAGGAUACGGGAUAUCAGGAACAUUGUAUAGCACAUUGACAGUUCACAAUUGAGUUCCGGGCUUUUCA